rnacentral:rRNA from 1 species
UAGGGAAUCUUCGGCAAUGGACGAAAGUCUGACCGAGCAACGCCGCGUGAGUGAAGAAGGUUUUCGGAUCGUAAAACUCUGUUGUUAGAGAAGAACAAGGACGUUAGUAACUGAACGUCCCCUGACGGUAUCUAACCAGAAAGCCACGGCUAACUACGUGCCAGCAGCCGCGGUAAUACGUAGGUGGCAAGCGUUGUCCGGAUUUAUUGGGCGUAAAGCGAGCGCAGGCGGUUUCUUAAGUCUGAUGUGAAAGCCCCCGGCUCAACCGGGGAGGGUCAUUGGAAACUUGGGGACAUGAGUGCAGAAGGGGAGGGUGGAAUUUCAUGUGUAGCGGUGAAAUGCGUUAGUAUAUGGAGGAACACCAGUGGCGAAGGCGGCUCUCUUGUCUGUAACUGACGCUGAAGGUCGAAAGCGUGGGGAGCAAACAGG